rnacentral:rRNA from 1 species
UACAGGGGUCGCAAGCGUUGUUCGGAUUCACUGGGCGUAAAGGGUGCGUAGGCGGUCGGGUAAGUCUGACGUGAAAUCUUCGAGCCUAACUCGGAAACUGCGUCGGAUACUAUUCGGCUAGAGGAAUGGAGGGGAGACUGGAAUACUUGGUGUAGCAGUGAAAUGCGUAGAUAUCAAGUGGAACACCAGUGGCGAAGGCGAGUCUCUGGACAUUUCCUGACGCUGAGGCACGAAAGCCAGGGGAGCAAACGGG